AUGGAUACCAAUGAUUUCCUCCCUGAUGCUGUAACUUUUGAUACAAUUAUUGGUGCACUGCUCAAGAGAAAUGAGACCGAAAAGGCAGAGAAACUUCGUCAUGAAAUGAUGGAGAGAGGUCUGGUAAAUAUUGAAAAAAGGUCAGAUACUUUAGUUCCAUUUUAUUUAUUUACUUGCUUUUGGACAGUAACUUCAGCUUCAUUUUGGAUUAUGCUUCUAUAA